AUUGAACGCUGGCGGCAGGCCUUACACAUGCAAGUCGAACGAGCGGCGGACGGGUGAGUAAUGUCUAGGAAUCUGCCUAGUAGUGGGGGAUAACUACCCGAAAGGGUAGCUAAUACCGCAUACUAUUGGAGGAGCCGAUAUCGGAUUAGCUAGUUGGUGGGGUAAAGGCCUACCAAGGCGACGAUCCGUAACUGGUCUGAGAGGACGAGCAGUCACACGUGGACUGAGACACGGCCCAGACUCCUACGGGAGGCAGCAGUGGGGAAUAUUGGACAAUUGGCGCAAGCCUGAUCCAGCCAUGCCGCGUGUAUGAAGAAGGCUUCGGAGUGUAAAGUACUUUAAGCUGGGAGGCGUUACUCGCAGAAGAAGCACCGGCUAACUCCGUGCCAGCAGCCGCGGUAAUAC
rnacentral:rRNA from 1 species